rnacentral:rRNA from 1 species
GUCUACGGCCAUGCCACCCUGAACAAGUCCGAUCCCGUCUGAUCUCAGAAGCUAAGCAGGAUCGGGCCUGGGUUAGUACCUAGAUGGGAGACCACCUAAGAAGACCAGGUGCUGUAGUGU